UACGAAGGGGGCUAGCGUUGUUCGGAAUUACUGGGCGUAAAGGGCGCGUAGGCGGCGUGUCAAGUCAGGCGUGAAAUCCCCAGGCUCAACCUGGGAACUGCGUCCGAUACUGGCAGGCUUGAAUCCGGGAGAGGGAUGUGGAAUUCCAGGUGUAGCGGUGAAAUGCGUAGAUAUCUGGAGGAACACCGGUGGCGAAGGCGGCAUCCUGGACCGGUAUUGACGCUGAGGCGCGAAAGCUAGGGGAGCAAACGGG
rnacentral:rRNA from 1 species